AGCGAACGCUGGCGGCAGGCUUAACACAUGCAAGUCGAGCGGGCGUAGCAAUACGUCAGCGGCAGACGGGUGAGUAACGCGUGGGAACAUACCUUUUGGUUCGGAACAACACAGGGAAACUUGUGCUAAUACCGGAUAAGCCCUUACGGGAAAGAUUAUCGCCGAAGAUGCCGCGUCUGAUUAGCUAGUUGGUGAGGUAACGGCUCACCAAGGCGACGAUCAGUAGCUGGUCUGAGAGGAUGAUCAGCCACAUUGGGACUGAGACACGGCCCAAACUCCUACGGGAGGCAGCAGUGGGGAAUAUUGCGCAAUGGGCGAAAGCCUGACGCAGCGACGCCGC
rnacentral:rRNA from 1 species